rnacentral:rRNA from 1 species
AUACGUAGGGUGCGAGCGUUGUCCGGAAUUACUGGGCGUAAAGAGCUCGUAGGUGGUUUGUCGCGUCGUCUGUGAAAUUCCGGGGCUUAACUCCGGGCGUGCAGGCGAUACGGGCAUAACUUGAGUACUGUAGGGGAGACUGGAAUUCCUGGUGUAGCGGUGAAAUGCGCAGAUAUCAGGAGGAACACCGGUGGCGAAGGCGGGUCGCUGGGCAGUAACUGACGCUGAGGAGCGAAAGCAUGGGUAGCGAACAGGAUUAGAUCCCCUGGUAGUCCAUGCCGUAAACGGUGGGCGCUAGGUGUAGGGGUCUUCCACGACUUCUGUGCCGUAGCUAACGCAUUAAGCGCCCCGCCUGGGGAGUACGGCCGCAAGGCUAAAACUCAAAUGAAUUGACGGGG